CGGGGUGAGUAAUGUCUGGGAAACUGCCUGAUGGAGGGGGAUAACUGCUGGAAACGGUAGCUAAUACCGCAUAACGUCGCAAGACCAAAGAGGGGGACCUUCGGGCCUCUUGCCAUCGGAUGUGCCCAGAUGGGAUUAGCUAGUAGGUGGGGUAACGGCUCACCUAGGCGACGAUCCCUAGCUGGUCUGAGAGGAUGGCCAGCCACACUGUAACUGAGACACGGUCCAG
rnacentral:rRNA from 1 species